UAAAAUUUAUUGGCCAAGAAGAGAAGAUUUUUGGUGAAUAAUUAUUAUUUUCUUUGUCUACUCCUUGGAUCUUCAUCUCCGAGUUAAAAUGAUAACACAUUCCAAGUAGAUGAUGACUGAAACAAUGGUUUUGAUACGUAAAAGAUUCAUAGAGGAGAUCGAGAAAAAUGAAAAGGAUAGAAGAAUGCGGUGCUGAAAUCAUAUUUUCGUCGUGAAGAAAGUUUUUAAAGUUAUUUGAAGUUUUGAUGAUUGGAGGACGAGCAAUGAUGGAGGAAUUCUAAUGAGUGUUGUAUGAUCAAUUUUACAAGUAAUUUGACGAAUUUUUCUAUAAGUAAGCCGAUAAUUUAACAAAUAACAAACUAAUUGUCUUUUAAUA